AACGCGAAGAACCUUACCCAGGCUUGACAUCCUUGGAAUUUCUCCGAAAGGAGAAAGUGCUUUAUUGAGCCAAGUGACAGGUGAUGCAUGGCCGUCGUCAGCUCGUGUCGUGAGAUGUUUGGUUAAGUCCAUUAACGAGCGCAACCCUUGUGAUUAGUUGAAUUUUUCUAAUCAGACUGCCCUGGUAACAGGGAGGAAGGAGGGGAUGAUGUCAGGUCAGUAUUUCCCUUACGUCUGGGGCUACAAACACGCUACAAUGGCCGGUACAAAGGGCAGCCAAGUCGCAAGACGGAGCAAAUCCCAUCAAAGCCGGUCUCAGUUCGGAUAGCAGGCUGAAACUCGCCUGCUUGAAGUCGGAAUCGCUAGUAACGGCAGGUCAGCUAUACUGCCGUGAAUACGUUCCCGGGCCUUGUACACACCGAGACGUA
rnacentral:rRNA from 1 species